rnacentral:rRNA from 6 species
CAUCCUCCAAGGCUAAAUACUCCUGACUGACCGAUAGUGAACCAGUACCGUGAGGGAAAGGCGAAAAGAACCCCGGCGAGGGGAGUGAAAAAGAACCUGAAACCGUGUACGUACAAGCAGUGGGAGCCCCACCACUAAGCCAGUGGUGAACUCCACAUCCGCAUCCUUUGCUGAGGAUACGGUUAACGGAGCGAAAGCGACGUUCAACCGCAAAACAAGCAGAGGGGGCUUAGUGGUGGGGUGACUGCGUACCUUUUGUAUAAUGGGUCAGCGACUUAUAUUCUGUAGCAAGGUUAACCGAAUAGGGGAGCCGGAGGGAAACCGAGUCUUAAUUGGGCGUUAAGUUGCAGGGUAUAGACCCGAAACC